rnacentral:lncRNA from 1 species
UUUUCUGUGGCGUCCUGGUGUUGGGCAUCUGUUCUCAGCGUAAGCUAAGCAUGGGGCCAGCGAGGCUCCUGGUGAGUCUAGUGGACCAGGCGUGGGCACACGCAGAGCGCCGCCGCUCCUCAGGCAGAUAUUGCAGCUGGGUUCGGAGCUACUGACUUGCCUACAUCACACUAUGCGGCAGUAACAUGUUCCCGGCGUUGGAAACAGAGCUAAAGCAGGAGCUCAGAAAAGCAGCUUACCAAGUUCAGCCACCCAUCAGCGUGUUUGGAGGAGCAGCCCUCGGUAUAUGUUAAAUGGCUCUUUUGGAGAAAGAGAUGAUUUCAUCUCGGACAGCUUGGAAAAAGAGAUGUUUCUAUGAGACUCACUUAUGCUGAGCUCACCACUCCUUAGGAGCAGGCAGCUUCUUUACGAUGAGCUGGAUACGGUAAACCCACGCCUUCGAGAACCCCGAGAGCUCUUCUCAUGCUUCUCUAACAAAGGGCCGCUGCAGGCUCCAAGAUGGCCGAUAGAA